rnacentral:rRNA from 1 species
UAGCGAUCUGGGAAAAGUCCCUUGGAAAAGGGCAGCACAGAGGGUGAUACUCCCGUCUUUGCUCAGAUUGUCUGUGUGUACGAUACGCUUUCUUUGAGUCGAGUUGUUUGGGAAUACAGCUCAAAGUAGGUGGUAAAUUCCAUCUAAAGCUAAAUAUUGGUGCGAGACCGAUAGCGAACAAGUACCGUGAGGGAAAGAUGAAAAGAACUUUGAAAAGAGAGUUAAAGAGUACCUGAAACUGUUGAAAGGGAACCGUAUCGUUUCCAGUGUUUUAUCCUAUGCAUAUUUCAUCGGCGGAGUAAUUUGCUGGUGCCCUGUGCAUGGGUGUGACGUCAGAGUCAGUUUGUAUGCUGCGGGAGAUGGUUAGUAAGAAGGUGCGUCACUUCGGUGAAAGUUAUAUCUUGCUAUCUAGUUGCCGUGGUUGAGACUGAGGUGCCUACAACAUGCCCUGGGGUUCAGUGGCGUCUCGUUUUGGUGACUGCUUGGAUAGCUUGCUAUGUCUGUGGUUAAUCAGGGCGAUCGAUGCUAUUGAAAACCUCUGCUGUUCGGGACUCUGGCGAAAUGGAGCGAUACGACCCGUCUUGAAACACGGACCAAGGAGUCUAACAUGUGUGCAAGUAUUAGGGCGUGGAAACCCAAAUGCGUAAUGAAAGUAAAUGCUGCUUAUGCAGCUGUGGUAGGAAAGGGCUGUUAUGGUCCUGGCACUAUCGACCGAUCAUGAGCCUACGGGCGAAAGAUUUGAGUAUGAGCAUAUAUGUUGGUACCCGAAAGAUGGUGAACUAUGCCUGAAUAGGGUGAAGCCAGGGGAAACUCUGGUGGAAGCUCGUAGCGAUUCUGACGUGCAAAUCGAUCGUCAAAUUUGGGUAUAGGGGCGAAAGACUAAUCGAACCAUCUAGUAGCUGGUUCCCUCCGAAAUUUCCCUCAGGAUAGCAGCAACUUUUUACGAUAG